rnacentral:rRNA from 1 species
GAGGAAUAUUGGUCAAUGGGCGCAAGCCUGAACCAGCCAUGCCGCGUGCAGGAAGAAGCAUCUAUGGUGUGUAAACUGCUUUUAUACAGGAAGAAACACCCCCACGUGUGGGGGCUUGACGGUACUGUAAGAAUAAGGACCGGCUAACUCCGUGCCAGCAGCCGCGGUAAUACGGAGGGUCCAAGCGUUAUCCGGAAUCAUUGGGUUUAAAGGGUCCGUAGGCGGUCUUAUAAGUCAGUGGUGAAAUCUCCUAGCUCAACUAGGAAACUGCCAUUGAUACUGUAAGACUUGAAUACUUGUGAAGUAACUAGAAUAUGUAGUGUAGCGGUGAAAUGCUUAGAUAUUACAUGGAAUACCAAUUGCGAAGGCAGGUUACUAACAAGUUAUUGACGCUGAUGGACGAAAGCGUGGGGAGCGAAC